rnacentral:rRNA from 1 species
UACAGAGGUGCCAAGCGUUAGGCGGAAUCACUGGGCUUAAAGCGCGCGUAGGCGGAUGUUUAAGUGUCUUGUGAAAUCCCACGGCUCAACCGUGGAACUGCUGGGCAUACUGGACGUCUUGAGGCACUCAGGGGGCGAGCGGAACAAGUGGUGGAGCGGUGAAAUGCGUAGAUAUCACUUGGAACGCCAAUGGUGAAGACAGCUCGGCGUGGGGGGUGU